rnacentral:rRNA from 1 species
AGUGAACGCUGGCGGUAGGCCUAACACAUGCAAGUCGAACGGCAGCACAGUAAGAGCUUGCUCUUACGGGUGGCGAGUGGCGGACGGGUGAGGAAUACAUCGGAAUCUACUUUUUCGUGGGGGAUAACGUAGGGAAACUUACGCUAAUACCGCAUACGACCUACGGGUGAAAGCAGGGGAUCUUCGGACCUUGCGCGAUUGAAUGCGCCGAUGUUGGGUUUGCUGGUUGGCGGGGUACAGGCCCACCCAGGCGACGAUCCGUAGCUUGUCUGAGAGGAUGAUCGGCGACAUUGGAACGUGGACACGGUCCAGACUCCUACGGUACGCAGCAGUGGGGAAUAUUGGACAAUGGGCGCAAGCAUGGUCCAGCCAUACCGCGUGGGUGAAGAAGGCCUUCGGGUUGUAAUGCCCUUUUGUUGGGAAAGAAAAGCAGCAGGUUAAUACCCCGCUGUUCUGACGGUAACCAAAGAAUAAGCACCGGCUAACUUCGUG